rnacentral:rRNA from 1 species
CGAAUGCUGACAUAAGUAACGAUAAAGCGGGUGAAAAGCCCGCUCGCCGGAAGACCAAGGGUUCCUGUCCAACGUUAAUCGGGGCAGGGUGAGUCGACCCCUAAGGCGAGGCCGAAAGGCGUAGUCGAUGGGAAACAGGUUAAUAUUCCUGUACUUGGUGUUACUGCGAAGGGGGGACGGAGAAGGCUAUGUUGGCCGGGCGACGGUUGUCCCGGUUUAAGCGUGUAGGCUGGUUUUCCAGGCAAAUCCGGAAAAUCAAGGCUGAGGCGUGAUGACGAGGCACUACGGUGCUGAAGCAACAAAUGCCCUGCUUCCAGGAAAAGCCUCUAAGCAUCAGGUAACAUCAAAUCGUACCCCAAACCGACACAGGUGGUCAGGUAGAGAAUACCAAGGCGCUUGAGAGAACUCGGGUGAAGGAACUAGGCAAAAUGGUGCCGUAACUUCGG